rnacentral:lncRNA from 1 species
GGGUGGAUGAUAUAGUGGUAUGGCAGCAGUUCACCUAUCAAGAGCUGCUAGAAAAUUGCUAUAAUUAGGUGUACUACAGAAGAAGGUGAUUGCUUAAAAGUCCAUAAUGUCAACACUAAGCUAGUUUGUACAAAAUGAAUUCGAGCGGCCAGAGUCUCUAUCUCCAACACUCAAAUAUCAACAGAUUAAGGAUCACCUACUCUAACUCCAGUGAUUAGCCAACAACUGGGAGGAUGGUCGCACCCGAAGAAGGUAGUAAGAAACCACCACCUAAG